rnacentral:tRNA from 1 species
CGGCGAUGCAGGAGGCUAUCCUGCUGCUUAUUGAGCAGCAGCUGGCGGAGGAGGCGGUUCAGCCCGCCACCUCUGG